ACGAACGCUGGCGGCAUGCCUAACACCUGCCAGUCGAACGAGACCUUCGGGUCUAGUGGCGCACGGGUGCGUAACGCGUGGGAACCUGCCCUUAGGUUCGGAAUAACUCCCCGAAAGGGGUGCUAAUACCGGAUAAUGUCUUCGGACCAAAGAUUUAUCGCCUUUGGAUGGGCCCGCGUUGGAUUAGCUAGUUGGUAGGGUAAAAGCCUACCAAGGCGGCGAUCCAUAGCUGGUCUGAGAGGAUGAUCAGCCACACUGGGACUGAGACACGGCCCAGACUCCUACGGGAGGCAGCAGUGGGGAAUAUUGGACAAUGGGCGAAAGCCUGAUCCAGCAAUGCCGCGUGAGUGAUGAAGGCCUUAGGGUUGUAAAGCUCUUUUACCCGGGAUGAUAAUGACAGUACCGGGAGAAUAAGCUCCGGCUAACUCCGUG
rnacentral:rRNA from 1 species